rnacentral:rRNA from 1 species
UACGUAGGGUGCGAGCGUUAAUCGGAAUUACUGGGCGUAAAGCGUGCGCAGGCGGUUUUGUAAGCCAGAUGUGAAAGCCCCCGGGCCUCAACCUGGAAUGGCAUUUGGGACUGCAAGGCUUGAGUGCGGCAGAGGAGACUGGAAUUCCUGGUGUAGCAGUGAAAUGCGUAGAUAUCAGAGGAAUACCGAUGGCGAAGGCAGGUCUCUGGGCUGACACUGACGCUCAUGCAC